rnacentral:rRNA from 1 species
GACGAACGCUGGCGGCGUGCUUAACACAUGCAAGUCGAACGGAAAGGCCCUUCGGGGUACUCGAGUGGCGAACGGGUGAGUAACACGUGGGUGAUCUGCCCUGCACUUUGGGAUAAGCCUGGGAAACUGGGUCUAAUACCGAAUAGGACCACGCGCUUCAUGGUGUGUGGUGGAAAGCUUUUGCGGUGUGGGAUGGGCCCGCGGCCUAUCAGCUUGUUGGUGGGGUAAUGGCCUACCAAGGCGACGACGGGUAGCCGGCCUGAGAGGGUGACCGGCCACACUGGGACUGAGAUACGGCCCAGACUCCUACGGGAGGCAGCAGUGGGGAAUAUUGCACAAUGGGCGCAAGCCUGAUGCAGCGACGCCGCGUGAGGGAUGACGGCCUUCGGGUUGUAAACCUAUUUCACCAGGGACGAAGCGUAAGUGACGGUACCUGGAGAAGAAGCACCGGCCAACUACGUG